GACGAACGCUGGCGGUAGGCUUAACACUUGCAAUUCAAACGAGAAUUUUUUUAUUGAACCUUCGGGGGAGAUAGAUACAUACAGUGGCGAACGGGUGAGUAACGCGUGGGCUACCUACCUAUCUGAGCGAGAUUCCUCGACAAUUCGGGAGUUAAACCGCAUAUCUCGGAUUUAUCUUAUGAUGAAUCCGUCCAAACUCCGGUGCCGAUACAUGAGUCCGCAUCAGAUUAGCUAAUUGUUAAGGUAUGGGCUUACCAAGGGAACGAUGGGUAGCCGGUCUGAGAG
rnacentral:rRNA from 1 species